GCCACUGUGGCACAGUGGUUUGAGUGUUGGACUACAACUCUGGAAGACAGCGUUCAAAUCCCAGCUUGGCC